rnacentral:lncRNA from 1 species
UCCUUCCUCUCUCUCUGCCUGCCUCUCUGCCUACUUGUGAUCUCUGUCAAAUAAAUAAAUAAAAUCUUAAAAAAAAAAAAAAGCACUUGUCGUGGCUGCGGCCUUCCUGAUGAGUUCUAUCCUUCCCCUUAUAAACCAUGAAUCAAACAGUAAAUCCAGCCGUGGGGUGGGGGACCGACGGAGGGGGGGGCUGUAUGGGCUCCCCCUAAAGGCCAUCUGGACCAGCCUUGUUGGUGGAGCAGAGUUCUCCAUGCAAGGUCAAAGGGGAGAUGGAAGGGAGGUUUGAAAUGUUCCAGAAGCAUUGCGUCAUUGUUACUGCCGGGAUGGGGGGGAUACAGGGAAGCCCGUGCAAUGGGUCUUGACCUUGCAGAGUUUCCGGUUGACCCAGAUCAGUGACUCUCCCUGGUCUGGAGCUGGGAGGCACCCUGGAGUCUGGCAACAGGGCUCCAAGGACACAAAACUGAGCUGUUAUUGUGAGGUCAUCACUGAUGGCUUCCUGGGGGAGAGGGCAUUUGGAUGGCCCAGAAGGACAGACUGGAUUUGGCCAGUUUGGGCUCACCAGGGAGGGUGGUCGGCAGCCGCAAUGGCAUGAGAGCCGAGUGAAGCCCGUUUGUACAUGGCUUCCAACUAUAGAGCCAAAGAGCUUGGACCUCCUGCAAGGCAUGGGGAGCCACUGCAGGUUUCAGAGCUGAGUGACCAGUCAGAGCUAUGCAGGUUCCCAUUCUGGAAUCCUGUGGCAGGAGCAGCCUGGCUGCCUCGAGCACCCCAUCUGCGAAUCACCCCUCCCCUGUGUGUCGCCACCAUUACAGUGAGGACCUCAGGGCAAGGACUGGACAGAAAGACAUUCGGGAUCCAAGGGCCUGCCACAGAGCACCACAUGGGCAACUGAAUGGUGACCAACCCCCAAUGCGCUGACCAGAUCUGACAUUCUCAGUGGGGUGACAGCACCCUCAAGGGGUUAAAAUUAGCUCUGGGAGGAGGGCACAAAGCCGUCUCAGCUAUCCUGGUGGCCUGCGUCUAUCACAAAGCUCAAUGCUACCUGCUACCCGACAAAAUCGUAUUCCCUUGUAUUUAGUUUCAUGGGGGCUGGGACGAUUAUUUAAAAAACGUCUAAAAAGCCUCCUCAGAUAGGUGAUAAUGGAAAAAAAAAAAAAGGUGAGAAACGCUGGACUUGAGGGAGACUGUGUGAUACCAGCUCACAUCCACCCAUUCAUAGCUCCGCACGGAUCACACUGACUGACUGGAGAGAGGAAC